GACGUAGGGCGCGAGCGUUGUCCGGAUUUAUUGGGCGUAAAGAGCUCGUAGGCGGCUUGUCGCGUCGAAUGUGAAAACUCGGGGCUCAACUCCGAGCUUGCAUUCGAUACGGGCAGGCUAGAGUUCGGUAGGGGAGACUGGAAUUCCUGGUGUAGCGGUGAAAUGCGCAGAUAUCAGGAAGAACACCCGUGGCGAAGGCGGCUCUCUGGGACGGUACUGACGCUGAGACGCGAAAGCGUGGGGAGCGAACAGG
rnacentral:rRNA from 1 species